rnacentral:rRNA from 1 species
UACGUAGGGAGCAAGCGUUGUUCGGAAUUACUGGGCGUAAAGGGCUCGUAGGCGGCCAACUAAGUCAGACGUGAAAUCCCUCGGCUUAACCGGGGAACUGCGUCUGAUACUGGAUGGCUUGAGUUUGGGAGAGGGAUGCGGAAUUCCAGGUGUAGCGGUGAAAUGCGUAGAUAUCUGCAGGAACACCCGUGGCGAAAGCGGCGCGCUGGACCACUACUGACGCUGAGGAACGAAAGCUAGGGGAGCAAACAGG